rnacentral:rRNA from 1 species
GGCGAGUGGCGAACGGGUGAGUAAUACAUCGGAACGUGCCCAGUCGUGGGGGAUAACGUAGCGAAAGCUACGCUAAUACCGCAUACGAUCUAUGGAUGAAAGCGGGGGACCGUAAGGCCUCGCGCGAUUGGAGCGGCCGAUGGCAGAUUAGGUAGUUGGUGGGGUAAAGGCUCACCAAGCCUUCGAUCUGUAGCUGGUCUGAGAGGACGACCAGCCACACUGGGACUGAGACACGGCCCAGACUCCUACGGGAGGCAGCAGUGGGGAAUUUUGGACAAUGGGCGCAAGCCUGAUCCAGCCAUUCUGCGUGCAGGAUGAAGGCCUUCGGGUUGUAAACUGCUUUUGUACGGAACGAAAAAGCUCUUUCUAAUACAGAGAGUCCAUGACGGUACCGUAAGAAUAAGCACCGGCUAACUACGUGCCAGCAGCCGCGGUAAUACGUAGGGUGCAAGCGUUAAUCGGAAUUACUGGGCGUAAAGCGUGCGCAGGCGGUGAUGUAAGACAGAUGUGAAAUCCCCGGGCUCAACCUGGGAACUGCAUUUGUGA